GGUUAUCAGGUGCGGCGGGUCUCGCAAAGCAAGCGAUUACAUCCAUCGUGCUGCACUGCGGGGCUUGCUUCUGAGUAUAUCGAAAAAAUGAAAUUAAAAUUCUCAAGGCAUUAUGCAUCAAAAGACUGUCUUCUUGGAACUAUUUUAUCAAUGGAUAGAUAAUAAAGCAUGAAGAUGAAAUAUUAUAUAUGAAAUGAAAUUUGGAUAAAAUGUUUAAGCACUUGUUUUUUUCUGAUAGAGGUAAGAAUAUCUGUCAUAUAAUGAGAGUUUGAAAAUUUUGAGAGCACGAAAUGAUUUUCACCGAUUGAAAUACUGUCUGUAAGCCUUUGGAAAGUUGAUGUUUUUAUGUUGUUUUUGUUUAAAAAAUAAAAAACCUUUUGGGGGAAAAAAA